GUAGUCCUAGCCGUAAACGAUGGACACUGAGUGGAGGAGGGCUUGCCUUUCUCUGCUGCAGCUAACGCGUUAAGUGUCCCGCCUGGGGAGUACGGCCGCAAGGUUAAAACUCAAAGGAAUUGACGGGGGCUCGCACAAGCGGUGGAGCAUGUGGUUCAAUUCGAUGCAACGCGAAGAACCUUACCCGGGCUUGAAGUGGAGGUGGUAGGAGCCGGAAACGGUGACGACCCCGCAAGGGGAGCCUUCAUCAGGUGUUGCAUGGCUGUCGUCAGCUCGUGUCGUGAGACGUUGGGUUAAGUCCCGUAACGAGCGAAACCCUUGCGACUAGUUGCUACCUAGCAAUAGGGCACUCUAGUCGGACUGCCCGUGUCGAAUGGGAGGAAGGUGGGGAUGACGUCAAGUCAUCAUGGCCCUUAUGUCCGGGGCAACACACGUGCUACAAUGGCCGGUAUAAAGGGUUGCCAACUCGCGAGAGGGAGCCAAUCCCAAAAAGCCGGCCCCAGUUCGGAUCGGAGGCUGCAAUUCGCCUCCGUGAAGCCGGAAUCGCUAGUAAUCGCGGAUCAGCCACGCCGCGGUGAAUA
rnacentral:rRNA from 1 species